AAAACUUCAAUUAAUGUUCCUUUAAUGUUCCUACUUCAUGUAGAUUGAUGGUCUUCUGGUUUUAAAUCAAGCACAGGAAAACUAUCGCUCCCUCUAGCUCAACUAUAGUAAUUAAGAAUUUGUAUGGUUUGAAUGAUGCAGUUGAUUCAGCCAUAGUCGGUUCUCCCAAUACUAUUUCUGUCGCCGUUUCUCCAACUUCCAUCAACAUAUGUAAUUCCUUGGAAUUAGCUCUGAUCUCCCUCAAGUUAGCCAGCCA
rnacentral:lncRNA from 1 species